AACAAACGCUGGCGGCGUGCCUAACACAUGCAAGUCGAACGAGAAAGUCGGUUUCGGCCGAUGAGUAAAGUGGCGCACGGGUGAGUAACGCGUGGAUAAUCUACCCUUUAGUCCGGAAUAACUUGCCGAAAGGUGAACUAAUACCGGAUGACAUCCCGGGUUCUCCGGAAACCGGGAUCAAAGAAGGCCUCUGCUUGCAAGCUUUUGCUGAAGGAUGAGUCCGCGUACCAUUAGCUAGUUGGUGGGGUAAUGGCCUACCAAGGUUAUGAUGGUUAGCUGGUCUGAGAGGAUGAUCAGCCACACUGGAACUGAAACACGGUCCAGACUCCUACGGGAGGCAGCAGUGAGGAAUAUUGCGCAAUGGGGGCAACCCUGACGCAGCAACGCCGCGUGAGUGAGGAAGGUUUUCGGAUUGUAAAGCUCUGUCGAGCGGAAAGAAAUGCACGAUGGCUAAGUAUCCAUCAUGCUUGACGGUACGCUAGAGGAAGCACCGGCUAA
rnacentral:rRNA from 1 species